rnacentral:rRNA from 1 species
CCUACGGGUGGCAGCAGUGGGGGAUAUUGCACAAUGGGGGAAACCCUGAUGCAGCGACGCCGCGUGAGUGAAGAAGUAUUUCGGUAUGUAAAGCUCUAUCAGCAGGGAAGAAAAUGACAGUACCUGACCAAGAAGCCCCGGCGAACGACGGGCCAGCAGCCGCGGGAAUACGUAGGGGGCAAGCGUUAUCCGGAUUUACUGGGGGUAAAGGGAGCGGAGACGGUGCUGUUAGUCUGGAGUGAAAGCCCGGGGCCCAACCCCGGGACUGCUUUGGAAACUGUGUAACUGGAGUACAGGAGGGGCAGGCGGCAUUCCCGGUGUAGCGGUGCAAUGCGUAGAUAUCAGGAGGAACCCCUGCGGCGAAGGCGGCCUGCUGGACUGCACCUGACGUUGAGGCUCG